AACGUAGGACGCAAGCGGUAUCCGGAAUUACUGGGAGUAAAGCGCGUGUAGGCGGAUCAUUAAGUCACUGGUGAAAGCACCGGGCUAAACUCGGUGAGGUUCGGUGAGACUGGUGGUCUGGAGUAUGUCAGAGGGGUGCGGAAUUCCGGGUGUAGUGGUGAAAUGCGUAGAGAUCCGGAGGAACACCAGAGGCGAAGGCGGCACCCUGGGACAAAACUGACGCUGAGACGCGAAAGCAUGGGUAGCGAACGGG
rnacentral:rRNA from 1 species